GCUCAAAGGGAGCCAAUAACGUGAGCAGGAUUUGCCUCCAGACCUGUCCGGCAGCAUGCCUGGGCACACCACCCACGCCAGUGAUUAGUCUCUUUACCUUUCCAUUUCCAGCUCUUCCCAAGGUCAGGGUCAACAUUACUUGGUGUUAGAAGUGAGAUCCAGAGAAGACCCUCCCAUCCCAACAACUCUGAGGCUGGAGAGCAAAUAGGUGCUAGUACUCACUGAGCCCAUUGCCCUCACUGCUUUCUCAUUGACCCUGGAGUUUGAGGUCUCCUUGGAAGGGAUUAUACCACUCCUUAAUACCCAGAUGGCAGCCAAACUUCAGGGACUCGAACCUUGGGUACACAUCUCACAGCUAAAGAAGUCUCCACCUGACAUCUGGUCCUGUACAAAUGCUGGAGCUCUCCAAAUCAAAUUGACCAGGAAGAGAAGCAGCUGACAUCUCAGGCAGCUUUUCUAAGAUGACUGGACCGGUCCUAUAUACCCUUUUCUCACUGUUAUUUAUUCUCUCUUUCUGCUUUGUGGAAAGACAAUGCCCUUGUCCACAUUUCGCAAAACUUUGCAAAAGAGGAAAACCUCUUUUGAUUAUGGCCUUUUAUAA
rnacentral:lncRNA from 1 species